CGGGGCGUAGCGCAGUUUGGUUAGCGUGCGCGGUUUGGGUCCGCGAGGUCGUCAGUUCAAAUCUGACCGCCCCGA
rnacentral:tRNA from 1 species